rnacentral:lncRNA from 1 species
AUGCACAGACAUAUGUUCUCUCUCUCACACACACACACUCAUGUGCACAUGAACAGACACAUGUUCUCUCUCUCUCUCUCUCUCACACACACUCUCAUGUGCACAUGAACAGACACAUGUUCUCUCUCUCACACACACACACACACUCAUGCAUGUGCACAUGCAUAAACACAUGUUCUCUCUCUCUCACACACACACACAUGCACACACACACUCUCAUGUGCACAUGCACAGACACGUUCUCUCUCUCUCUUACAUACACACUCAUACAUGUGCACAUGCACAGACACAUGUUCUCUCUUUCUCUCUCACAUACACACACACUCAUGUGCACAUGCACAGACAACACGUUUUCUCUCUUUCUCUCUCACACACACACACACUCACACUCAUGUGCAUAUGCACAGACACAUGUUCUCUCUCUCUCUCUCUCUUUCUCACACACACACACACACACAUUCUUAACAGUCUUUAAAUAACAAAUUUGUCCAACAGUGGAACAGUGGUAUAGCACCAUACUUGGCUCUUAAAUUGUUUUUUUAGAUUUGUUUAAUUUUGUGUGUAUGAAUGCUUUUUUUUCUUAUUUGCAUAUAUGCCUGUAGAUGACAUGAAUGCCUGGUGCCCUUGGAGGCAGAAAAGGAUGUCAUGUACUAUGAGGUUAGGAUUACAAAUGGUUGAGUUACCUUGCGAAUGCUGAGAAUUGAACCCAGGUCCUCUGCAAGAUCAGUAUGCUCUGAACAGCGAAACCAUCUCUCCAGCCCCAUCCAUACUUGUUAUAAGAACCCAGAGGAGUAAACAUUAAUAUCAAAUCAAAGAGAUUCCAAAACAAAGAGUAUCAUCAGUUAAAACAAAGUGGGGAGGGGGACACUUCAUAGCACAAACCAAUUAACCCAGCAAGACGUACAAUUCUGGAUGCAUGGGUAGCUAAUGACAGCAUCUUUAAACAUUUGGGGUGUAAGCACAGAUUGACUGCAACAUCUGUCACCCCUUACCCCAAUCUCUGGGAUUGAUUUGGCCACUCUGACUCCUAGGCAGGUAUCCCUCAUUCUCUCCCAUUUACACACACACACACACACACACACACACACACACACGUCCCUCAGAAGCUCUGUAACCCUUCUAUGAGGGCAACUUUCCCUUCCCUCAAGACACUGCUUAUCUGUCUGCUUUAACUGAUGAUACAGUAUCUGAGGGUGGAGGGUGGAGCUGUAGCCACACUCCUGGUUAGGACAACCACUCAAGCUUAUGUAGGAGAAUGUAGGGUAGUCAGGCUUCUGAGACUCCAGCCCCAGCCAAAUAUCACUGUACAUAACCAUCUGACGUUUCUAAACUCCAACAAGCAAACAAUAGCAACAGAACAAAGAACAAGCAAACAAAACUAUAAAUGGAACUGUACUGGCUAGUUUUGUGUCAACUUGACACAAGCUGGACUUAUUACAGAAUAAGGAGCUUCAGUUGGGGAAAUGCCUCUAUGAGAUCCAGUUGUGGGGCAUUUUCUCAAUUAGUGAUCAAGGGGGGGAGGCCCCUUGUGGGUGGGACCAUCUCUGGGUUGGUAGUCUUGGGUCCUAUAAGAGAGCAGGCUGAGCAAACCAGGGGAAGCAAGCCAGUAAGUAACAUCCCUCUAUGGCCUCUGCAUCAGCUCCUGCUUCCUGACCUGCUUGAGUUCCAGUCCUGAUUUCCUUUGGUGAUAAACAGCAAUGUGGAAAAUGUAAGCUGAAUAAACCCUUUCCUCCC